UACGUAGGGUGCGAGCGUUGUCCGGAAUUAUUGGGCGUAAAGAGCUCGUAGGCGGUGUGUCGCGUCGGCCGUGAAAACCUGGGGCUCAACUCUGGGCGUGCGGUCGAUACGGGCAUCACUUGAGUUCGGCAGGGGAGACUGGAAUCCUGGUGUAGCGGUCGAAAUGCGCAGAUAUCAGGAGGAACACCGGUGGCGAAGGCGGUCGCUGGGCGCAUGUCCUG
rnacentral:rRNA from 1 species